rnacentral:rRNA from 1 species
AUUGAACGCUGGCGGCAGGCUUAACACAUGCAAGUCGAACGAGGGGCGGACGGGUGAGUAAUGCUUGGGACUCUAGCUUAGGGAGGGGGAUAACUACGGGACAGUGUAGCUAACACCGCGAACCCUAGGACGAGCCCAAGUGGGAUUAGGUAGGUGGUGAGGUAAAGGCUCACCAAGCCGACGAUCUCUAGCUGGUAUGAGAGGAUGACCAGCCACAAUGGGACUGAGACACGGCCCAGACUCCUACGGGAGGCAGCAGUGGGGAAUAUUGCGCAAUGGACCAAAGUUGACGGAGCAACGCCGCGUGAGUUAUGACAGCCUUCGGGUUGUAAAGCUCUGUUAAUCGGGAGACGGUACCGGAAUAGAAAGCCACGGCUAACUACGUGCCAGCAGCCGCGGUAAUAC